GUGUUGUUUGUGAAGGGCACACGGUGGAUGCCUGGGCAUUAUGAGCCGAUGAAGGACGUGUAAGGCCGCGAUAGGCCUCGGGGAGUUGCCAAUAGAGCGUUGAUCCGAGGGUGUCCGAAUGGGGAAACCUGGCCAUGGUUAUGUGUGGUUACCCAUCAGUGAAUGUAUAGCUGGUGUGGGGGUGACGCGGGGAAGUGAAACAUCUUAGUACCCGUAGGAGAAGAAAAUAAUUAAUGAUUCUGCUAGUAGUGGCGAACGAACGUGGAUGAGGCUAAACCGUAUGCGUGUGAUACCUGGCAGGGGUUGCGUGUGUGGUGUUGUGGGGCGUUGUUGGAGGAGGCUGCCGGCUCCUCGCUUGUGUAUGUGUGUGUUAGCGGAAGUGGUUUGGAAUGGCCUGCCGUAGUGGGUGAGAGUCCCGUACGUGAAAGUGCAUGCAUGUGAGUGGAUGAUGUUCCCGAGUAGCAGCGGGCUCGUGGAAUCUGCUGUGAAUCUGCCGGGACCACCCGGUAAGCCUAAAUACUUAUGAUGACCGAUAGCGGAUUAGUACCGUGAGGGAAUGGUGAAAAGUACCCCGGGAGGGGAGUGAAAUAGUACCUGAAACCGUGUGCUUACAAUCCGUCAGAGCCUUGUUGUGGGGUGAUGGCGUGCCUUUUGAAGAAUGAGCCUGCGAGUCAGCGGCAUGUCGCGAGGUUAACCCGUGUGGGGUAGUCGUAGCGAAAGCGAAUCCUAAUGAGGGUGUUGUCAGUGGCAUGUUCUGGACCCGAAGCGGGGUGAUCUACCCAUGGCCAGUGUGAAGCAGCUGUAAGAGGUUGUGGAGGCGCGAACCCACUUAGGUUGA
rnacentral:rRNA from 1 species